rnacentral:rRNA from 1 species
GAAUGCUGACAUAAGUAACGAUAAAGCGGGUGAAAAGCCCGCUCGCCGGAAGACCAAGGGUUCCUGUCCAACGUUAAUCGGGGCAGGGUGAGUCGACCCCUAAGGCGAGGCCGAAAGGCGUAGUCGAUGGGAAACAGGUUAAUAUUCCUGUACUUGGUGUUACUGCGAAGGGGGGACGGAGAAGGCUAUGUCAGCCGGGCGACGGUUGUCCCGGUUUAAGCGUGUAGGUGUGUGUUCCAGGCAAAUCCGGUUCACUUUAACACUGAGGCGUGAUGACGAGGCACUACGGUGCUGAAGUGAUAAAUGCCCUGCUUCCAGGAAAAGCCUCUAAGCAUCAGGUAACACGAAAUCGUACCCCAAACCGACACAGGUGGUCAGGUAGAGAAUACCAAGGCGCUUGAGAGAACUCGGGUGAAGGAACUAGGCAAAAUGGUGCCGUAACUUCGGGAGAAGG